rnacentral:rRNA from 1 species
CGUUCCCGGGUCUUGUACACACCGCCCGUCACACCACGAGAGUUUACAACACCCGAAGUCGGUGAGGUAACCGAAAGGAGCCAGCCGCCGAAGGUGGGGUAGAUGAUUGGGGUG